GGAGAAUAUUGGACAAUGGGCGAAAGCCUGAUCCAGCCAUGCCGCGUGUGUGAAGAAGGUCUUCGGAUUGUAAAGCACUUUAAGUUGGGAGGAAGGGUAGUAACCUAAUACGUUGCUACUUUGACGUUACCGACAGAAUAAGCACCGGCUAGCUUCGUG
rnacentral:rRNA from 1 species